rnacentral:rRNA from 2 species
UACCUGGACUUGACAUAGUAAGAAUGAUUUAGAGAUAGAUUAGUGUCUGCUUGCAGAAACUUGCAUACAGGUGCUGCACGGCUGUCGUCAGCUCGUGUCGUGAGAUGUUGGGUUAAGUCCCGCAACGAGCGCAACCCUCGUCCUUAGUUGCUAACAGUUCGGCUGAGAACUCUAAGGAGACUGCCUACGCAAGUAGGAGGAAGGUGAGGAUGACGUCAAGUCAUCAUGGCCCUUACGUCCAGGGCUACACACGUGCUACAAUGGGGUAUACAAAGAGCAGCAAUACGGUGACGUGGAGCAAAUCUCAAAAAUGCCUCCCAGUUCGGAUUGUAGUCUGCAACUCGACUACAUGAAGUUGGAAUCGCUAGUAAUCGUAGAUCAGCUAUGCUACGGUGAAUAC